UCAGGAGCGCGGAACGGAGUAUAGGCCCCGUUCCUAAAGGCUAGUGCCAGGCCCAUGCAGGGAAUGCGCCAGGUGGACAGUCUGGGAAGGACUGGGGAACAGAGGAAGGAGCCCUGCCUGGAGAUCCACGAACGCUAGUCGUGGCCUUGGCAGCGUUGGUUCAUUCAUCCUGCACACGCCAGCGGGCACUGAGUGUGCAGAGGUGAAACAGGUUGGCCUUUGCUCUCGUGGAGCUAGGGCUCUACUACACUUGAGGACUGCAAACAAUUAGAGGGCACGUGAGAAGACAUGUGGUGUGGAAUUCUAGUAAGAAGAGUCUUGAUGGGAUUGAUAGAGACAACUCCUUAAUGAUGUUUGACCCACCUUUGAGACAAAUGGAAAGACUGGAGAUAAAUGCUGCCUGAGAGAAGAGCAUGACCAUACACAGGGCAACUCUGCAGCUGAUGGACUCACAGGGGGCUGGGGGCUGUCUGCAGACCAUUCUCUCCCUUGACUGAGGGGCAGGUUUUCCUUGAAGAGGGAUCUUGGUGACACAUCUCCACGUUCAUCAAAAUGAUCAGAAGGCUGAAUCAACAGCUCACUUGGAAUGUGAUUUAAAUGUGUGCGGUGUACAGAUAGGACCAUCAGCCAGGAGACUCCAUGCUCUUGAACCAAGGGAUGUUUCUGUUGUCCUGCGGGGGCUAAAACACAAACUACAAGCUUUGCUGAGCCCACCUUUUUCUCUCUCCAUAAGUAUGAAGAUGAGUAUCAGAAACACCAAAAAGGAGACUGUGACGCUGAUGGAAAAGCUGCUACCUGAUAUUGCUGAGUGUUGUCCUUCUGAGAAAGAAGACACAUUUACAAAAACAGCACAAAAUGUAAACUUGGAGUCCGGUUUGGGGCUAUGAGCGAUUAUUUUCAUUUCAAUGGUGUCUUGUUCACGGACUUGACUUCUUAUCAGGGGAAGUGCUCUAGUCAAAUAAAUAUCUCCAUUAGUUUUAUUUACUAAAAAGAAAGGAGAUGGAGUUUCCAAAGAGUAAAGAAUAACUCCAUCAAUACCAGCAUCUGCAUCUGAUGCUUCCACUUUGCCAAUCAACUGUCUUAUUUUAUUCUUUUCUGGAAGGUUGAAAAAAUACUGAUCUUGAGUAAAAAUGGGUUCAAACUCAUCUAUCCCUUCAAUAUCCACCCAAACCAUUAAAGAGGCUGCUGAGUCCCCUUUGUCUUUUGCCUGAACUGUGAGGCAGUAUUUAUUGUCAUUUUCAUAGUCAAGGACUUGCUUAGUGUGAAUAUCCCCUGUUAAAGGGUCAAUGAGGAAGGGAUGAUGAUCACGAGGCAUCCCAUGAGUGGUAGAACAGGGCGAUAAAAUAGAAUAGGUCAAUUCUCCAUAAGGACCUGCAUCAAAAUCCAAAGCGUUUACGGAACAUACAGUGGAGAAAACAGGGACAUUUUCAGGAACAACACAAUUUAAGUUUGAGAACAUAAACUGAGGUGCAUGGUCAUUAUCAUCCAGGACAUUGAUAAACAGAACCGCAAAAGAAAAAUGCUUCCUUUCUUCAUCUGAAGCUUGAAUAGUUAAGGUGAAUUUUGUCGUUUCUUCAUAAUCCAGAGGUUUAAUCAAAUAAAGAACUCCAGUUUUUUCUUCCAAGUGAAAAUGCCCCCUCUCAUUUCCAGAGAUGAUGUGGUAGAUGAUUUCUGCAUGUGGACCCACAUCACAGUCGUUUGCAGAGACCACAGUGAUGUGACUCCCUAGAGGGGUACUUUCCUUGACAUGGGCAUGAUAUUUCAGACUGCUGAAUUUAGGUGGAUUAUCAUUGACAUCAAGUACUUCUAUUGAUACAAUGGCCGUAGAGCUCAAUGGAGGACAGCCAUGGUCAGAUGCCACAAUGACAAGGUUAUGACUGGCAGCUACUUCUCUGUCCAGGCUACGAAGCAACACCAGGUAACCAGCUUGCUUAUAAGGAUCUUCUGAAUGAAUGAAACUAGUUUCUACAUGGAAAUUAUUCUGUGAAUUACCACUGAUGAUCGAAUAAUCAACGUAUGUGUUUUCACGGGUCCAGUCACGGUCCAUGGUUGAAAAUGUGAGAAGCGUGCCUCCAAUUUGAGCAUCUUCACUCAAGCUAAGAUUAUAAUAUUCUACUGCAAACUCAGGGGCAUAAUUGUUCGUAUCUUGUAUUUCUAUUUCUACUAAGGUAAGAGCGCUCAGGUCAGGAAUGCCACCAUCACUGGCUUCAACGAGAAACUGAAUUGUUGAUAUUUUAUCCAGAGGUAAUACAGGAUUGAUAGUAAAUAUUGUGCCUGAAAAAUAAGACAUAGCAUUUCAAUGCUGUGAAAUUAAAUUUUCAUGAUCCACUUGUCAGCAAAUAUUUAUCAAAUAUUUACUAAUGUGUUGUUUUUACUUGCUAAGUUUUGUUAUUUAAGUUACAACCAAGAGUAACUCCAAAGAGAAAUUUUAAAUUAUUGUAUUUAGACUUUUGUAACACUUGAGAUCCAGAAGUAAUACUCCUGGAAGUCACUCUAUUAAAUAUAUGUGCUGUUUGAAGAUGACUUUGCUACAAAUGUCUCUUAAUUUUAUUUUUGUAAAAUAAACUGUUCCAUUACUAUUUCUUAAGAAAA